CAAAAAGGUGUAUAAAAAAGGCAUCGUUUAAGCAGAUGCUAUGUUUGAGGUAGACAAAAAAUGUGAUAGUCGGCCCCAUUUGAAAAUUGAAGCGUAUGGACAUUCAUUGGUUGCAUUAGUAGAUAGCGGAGCGUCAAUUUCGGAACAGAAGGUGUGAAUACUGCAGAAGGACGUAUGCAGAAAAUUACGGGGUACGUUCAGUUACCUAUAUCGGUAGAUGGAACGUGCAAGGUCAUGAAGUUUUGGGUGGUACCGACCAUCCGCCAUUUUGUAAUCUUGGGUAACGAUUUUUGUGAGAAAUUUGGAACGGUAAUAGAUUGGAAUCAGAAAACGAUUGUUGUGAAUGAUAAA